GUGCCAGCCGCCGCGGUAAUACCGGCAGCCCGAGUGAUGGCCGAUCUUAUUGGGCCUAAAGCGUCCGUAGCUGGCCGCACGAGUCCGUCGGGAAAUCCGCCCGCUCAACGGGCGGCCGUCCGGCGGAACCUGUGUGGCUUGGGACCGGGAGGCCUGAGGGGUACGAUCGGGGUAGGAGUGAAAUCCUGUAAUCCUGGACGGACCGCCGAUGGCGAAAGCACGUCGGGAAGACGGAUCCGACGGUGAGGGACGAAAGCCAGGGUCUCCAACCGGAUUAGAAACCCUGGUAGUCC
rnacentral:rRNA from 1 species